rnacentral:rRNA from 1 species
UGGGGAAUAUUGGACAAUGGGCGAAAGCCUGAUCCAGCCAUGCCGCGUGUGUGAAGAAGGUCUUCGGAUGGUAAAGCACUUUAAGUUGGGAGGAAGGGCAGUAAGCGAAUACCUUGCUGUUUUGACGUUACCGACAGAAUAAGCACCGGCUAACUCUGUGCCAGCAGCCGCGGUAAUACAGAGGGUGCAAGCGUUAAUCGGAAUUACUGGGCGUAAAGCGCGCGUAGGUGGUUCGUUAAGUUGAAUGUGAAAGCCCCGGGCUCAACCUGGGAACUGCAUCCAAAACUGGCGAGCUAGAGUAGGGCAGAGGGUGGUGGAAUUUCCUGUGUAGCGGUGAAAUGCGUAGAUAUAGGAAGGAACACCAGUGGCGAAGGCGACCACCUGGGCUCAUACUGACACUGAGGUGCGAAAGCGUGGGGAGCAAACAGG